UGCAAGUCGAACGAGAAAGCGGGAGCAAUCCUGCAAGUACAGUGGCGUACGGGUGAGUAACACGUGGAUCAUCUGCCCUAGAGUGGGGAAUAACGCUGGGAAACCGGCGCUAAUACCGCAUAAUCCCGAGAGGGGAAAGCAGCAAUGCGCUCAAGGAGGAGUCCGCGGCUGAUUAGCUAGUUGGUAGGGUAACGGCCUACCAAGGCUAUGAUCGGUAGCCGGCCUGAGAGGGCACACGGCCACACUGGCACUGAAACACGGGCCAGACUCCUACGGGAGGCAGCAGUGGGGAAUCUUGCACAAUGGGGGCAACCCUGAUGCAGCGACGCCNCGUGAGCGAUGAAGCCCUUCGGGGUGUAAAGCUCUUUCGGCAGGGAAGAUUAUGACGGUACCUGCAGAAGCAGCUGCGGCUAACUACGUGCCAGCAGCCGCGGUAAUACGUAGGCAGCAAGCGUUGUUCGGAGUUACUGGGCGUAAAGGGUGUGUAGGCGGCCUUCUAAGUUUGGUGUGAAAUCUCCCGGCUCAACCGGGAGGGUGCGCCGAAGACUGGGGGGCUAGAGUGCGGGAUGGGAGAGUAGAAUUCCUGGUGUAGCGGUGAAAUGCGUAGAUAUCAGGAGGAAUACCUGUGGUGUAGACGGCUCUCUGGACCGCAACUGACGCUGAGACACGAAAGCGUGGGUAGCAAACAGGAUUAGAUACCCUGGUAGUCCACGCCCUAAACGAUGCAUAUUUGGUGUAGGUCAUUCAGUUGAUCUGUGCCGGAGCUAACGCGUUAAAUAUGCCGCCUGGGAGUACAGUCGCAAGGCUG
rnacentral:rRNA from 1 species